rnacentral:rRNA from 1 species
GACGAACGCUGGCGGCGUGCUUAACACAUGCAAGUCGAACGGUAAGGCCCUUCGGGGUACACGAGUGGCGAACGGGUGAGUAACACGUGGGUGAUCUGCCCUGCACUUCGGGAUAAGCCUGGGAAACUGGGUCUAAUACCGGAUAGGACCACUGCCUGCAUGGGUGGUGGUGGAAAGCUUUUGCGGUGUGGGAUGGGCCCGCGGCCUAUCAGCUUGUUGGUGGGGUGAUGGCCUACCAAGGCGACGACGGGUAGCCGACCUAAGAGGGUGACCGGCCACACUGGGACUGAGAUACGGCCCAGACUCCUACGGGAGGCAGCAGUGGGGAAUAUUGCACAAUGGGCGCAAGCCUGAUGCAGCGACGCCGCGUGAGGGAUGACGGCCUUCGGGUUGUAAACCUCUUUCAGCACCGACGAAGCGCAAGUGACGGUAGGUGCAGAAGAAGGACCGGCCAACUACGUGCCAGCCGCCGCAGUAA